rnacentral:rRNA from 1 species
GAUCAUGGCUCAGAACGAACGCUGGCGGCAUGCCUAACACAUGCAAGUCGAACGAAGUCUUCGGACUUAGUGGCGCACGGGUGCGUAACGCGUGGGAAUCUGCCCUUGGGUACGGAAUAACUCAGAGAAAUUUGUGCUAAUACCGUAUAAUGACUUCGGUCCAAAGAUUUAUCGCCCAAGGAUGAGCCCGCGUAAGAUUAGCUAGUUGGUGGGGUAAAGGCCCACCAAGGCGACGAUCUUUAGCUGGU